GCCGCUGUAGCUCAGUUGGUAGAGCAAAGGACUGAAAAUCCUUGUGGCAAGAGUUCAAUUCUCUUUGGCGGCA
rnacentral:tRNA from 1 species